rnacentral:rRNA from 1 species
UAAAGCGAUUCAGCGGGUUACGAUUGACGGAGCGAAGCGACGUCAAAGCGUAUACAAAGUCGAGUCGGUUUAAGGAUACGUUCGUUGGGUAGGGGAGCGUUCUGUAAGCCCGUGAAGGUGGCCUGUGAGGGUUGCUGGAGGUAUCAGAAGUGCGAAUGCUGACAUAAGUAACGAUAAAGCGGGUGAAAAGCCCGCUCGCCGGAAGACCAAGGGUUCCUGUCCAACGUUAAUCGGGGCAGGGUGAGUCGACCCCUAAGGCGAGGCCGAAAGGCGUAGUCGAUGGGAAACGGGUUAAUAUUCCCGUACUUGGUGUUACUGCGAAGGGGGGACGGAGAAGGCUAUGUUGGCCGGGCGACGGUUGUCCCGGUUUAAGCGUGUAGGUGUGUGUUCCAGGUAAAUCCGGUUCACUUUAACACUGAGGCGUGACGACGAGGCACUACGGUGCUGAAGCAACAAAUGCCCUGCUUCCAGGAAAAGCCUCUAAGCAUCAGGUAACACGAAAUCGUACCCCAAACCGACACAGGUGGUCAGGUAGAGAAUACCAAGGCGCUUGAGAGAACUCGGGUGAAGGAACUAGGCAAAAUGGUGCCGUAACUUCGGGAGAAGGCACGCUGACACGUAGGUGAAGUGAUUUACUCAUGGAGCUGAAGUCAGUCGAAGAUACCAGCUGGCUGCAACUGUUUAUUAAAAACACAGCACUGUGCAAACACGAAAGUGGACGUAUACGGUGUGACGCCUGCCCGGUGCCGGAA